CAGGCUGAAGAAGCUGUCAGUGCUGUGUCAAGACUUGCCCAGGAAAAUGCUGAGCUUCGAGAGCAGUUGCGGGAACUCUCCGAGAAUACGGCUCUCGAGAAUGAGGAACUGAGAAAGGCUCUCGGCAAGGCCCAGCGUGACCUUGAAAUCUCCAACGCAAGGUGCAGGGAAUCGGAGGCAAAAUUACGAUCCCAGGCCUCGAAUGCAGGCCUCCAA